rnacentral:rRNA from 1 species
UACAGAGGGUGCAAGCGUUUGUCCGGAAUUAUUGGGCGUAAAGAGCUCGUAGGCGGUUUGUCGCGUCGAAUGUGAAAACCCGGGGCUCAACCCCGGGCCUGCAUUCGAUACGGGCAGACUAGAGUUCGGUAGGGGAGUCUGGAAUUCCUGGUGUAGCGGUGAAAUGCGCAGAUAUCAGGAGGAACACCGGUGGCGAAGGCGGGUCUCUGGGCCGAAAUUGACGCUGAGGAGCGAAAGCGUGGGGAGCAAACAGG